GGCCCUACGGGGCGCAGCAGGCGCAAAAACUUUACAAUGCGAGCAAUCGUGAUAAGGAAACCCUGAGUGCCUGUUAUCACAGGCUGUUCUGGUGUCUAACACACACCAGGAGAAAGGGCGGGGCAAGACCGGUGCCAGCCGCCGCGGUAAUACCGGCUGCUCGAGUGAUAGCCACUUUUACUGGGCUUAAAGCGUUCGUAGCUUGGUCGUUAAGUCUCUGGGGAAAUCUUUUGGCUCAACCAAAAGGCGUCUCAGGGAAACUGGCGACCUAGGAACCGGGAGAGGUAAGACGUACUUCGGGGGUAGAAGUGAAAUCUUGUAAUCCCCGAAGGACGACCGAUGGCGAAGGCAUCUUACCAGAACGGCUUCGACAGUGAGGGACGAAAGCUGGGGGAGCAAACCGGAUUAGAUACCCGGGUAGUCCCAGCCGUAAACGAUGUGCGUUAGGUGUGUCAGCGACCACGAGUCGCUGAGGUGCCGAAGGGAAACCGUGAAACGCACCGCCUGGGAAGUACGGUCGCAAGGCUGAAACUUAAAGGAGUUGGCGGGGGAGCACCACAACGGGUGGAGCCUGCGGUUUAAUUGGAUUCAACGCCGGG
rnacentral:rRNA from 1 species